AGAGAAGUCCCUCCCCCGAGGCUCUGAGGCCUCGCCCAGCUCCCUCCUGCUGUGUGGAGGAUGCCCUGCUCAGGAGGGGAGAAUGAGGCCCAGAAAUGGGACAGCAGAGCCGGGAGCCAUCAAGCUGACGGGACUCCUGUCCACCAGUGACACAUACAUUGAUGGAAGGCUGGUCUCCGGCAUUGGGAGGUGUGGCUGCCGGCUGGGAGCUGCUCUGUGAUAGCCUAGGACAUCCAGGUCACGUCCUCGAGGGCCCCACAGCAUCCUAGGCAGGGACAUAGACAAGUCCCUCCCCCAAACCCAAAGGCCUCCUUUCCCAGCGUGGGAGACACCAAAGAUCCAAGACGAGCUGCCCGGAGGCCCUGCGUCCUGAGAAGUGGAGGACUCAUCUGGCAACGACAAGGAUGCCCGUUGGGCCCGGGGCUUCGUGCACGCUCAGCUCUGGGUCCCCAGGCCCCCAGGCACCGCAUGGGCCCCAUGGGGAGGCCGCCUGAGCCCACAGGGAGGCUGAGGGGCCAUCUCUUGCUCACACUCCCCAUGGACGGGGUUGGACUUGCCCGCCACUCUCCUUCCGCCUGUGUGGCGAGUUCCUCUUGGGGCUCUUUGCCUUGGAAGCUGUCCUGUCUUCCCCAGGCGUCCACCACUUUGUCCUCUUCCAGUUAGAUCGCUCAGAGCCAGGUGGGGCCUUUACACAGGAGUGUUCCCAGCCUCCGGCUGCAAACAGGACAGCUUGGACGGACGGCCAAGGGAGCCCUUCGCUACACGUGGCGUUGUUCACCAUGACUCCUACUGCUCCAAGUCCCUCCUGCGCACCAUCUAGCCAGGUCCUCCCAGGAGCCUCGUGAACGAGGUAUUGUUUCUGCCCCUAUUUCACAUAUGGGUCCUCAGAGAGAUGGAGAGAGUCACUUGAGGACCCUGGCAUGGUGACUCAUGGCAGGGGGCUGUGGGCCUGGGUCAAUGCAGCCCCAGACCCCAAAGUGUGAGGCUGGGGGGCCGAGGGCCCCAGGGAGGCCCCUGACCUCAGCCUCAGAAGCCUAGGCCAGCAGGAAGUCCCCACCCCACUUUCCCCCAAAGGAAGCCGUGAAAGCCCCUCCCUGCCAUUUUCAGAGCCUUCCCCUGGCUUUCCCGGGCCCAGCCCCAGGUGGAGAAGUAAAGCAAGGCUACAGCCCACGGGCCCAUCAUGGGCUUUGCACAGACACCUGUGGGGGUCCCUGCAUUGCUGAGUGAUUGAGGUCUCACCCUAGGAGCUGGAGUAGGGGUGCAGCUCAGUCAAAAUGAUCUGCUUGAGCUGGCCACAUGUCGUCACCCUUGGCCCCUUAGCAAGGCCAGUCAGGUCCUCCUGGAGCUCACCUCGUCUGUGGAGCUGACACCUCCCCUGUUCCCGUGUGUUGACCGAAACAUCGCCAGUGCACUAACUCUGAUCUUGGCCCGGUCUGGGGGCAAGAAAACAGACGCAAAGCGUGCGAAGGCCACCUGCCGGCAAGUGACAGAACUAGAGCCUGACGGUGGCUCCCCGGCCAUCCUGGCUCCCCAACCUGGGCUCCUGGGGUGAGUCCUCCUGGUACCA
rnacentral:lncRNA from 1 species